rnacentral:rRNA from 1 species
GACGAACGCUGGCGGCGUGCUUAACACAUGCAAGUCGAACGGCAAGGCCCUGCUUUUGUGGGGUGCUCGAUUGGCGAACGGGUGAGUAACACGUGAGUAACCUGCCCUUGACUUUGGGAUAACUUCACGAAACUAGGCCUACUCCCGGAUAGCAGCUCCUGCUGCAUUGUGGGCGUUGGAACGUCUCGGCGGGCGGGGAUGGACUCGCGGUUAACCAGCUUGUUGGUGGGGUAGUGGAUUACCAAGGCUUGGAACGAUACGCGGCAUGGGAGGGUGAACGGGGACAUUAGUACUGAGGGACGGACCAGAGUCCAACGGGGGGCAGCGGUGGGAAAUAUUGCACAGUGAGCGGGAGCCGGAUGCGACAACGCCGCGUGCGGGAUGACGGUCUUCGGGGUGUGAACCGCUGUCGGCUGAGACGAAGCGUGAGUGACGGUACUGGGUAAAGAAGCACCGGCUAACUACGUG